AAAUUGAGGUCCGGUACAUGCAAAAGGCUGUCCGGCGCCACCCCCAUGGGUGGCGCCGGACAGCCUUUUAGUCGGGAUGAGAAAUCUAG
rnacentral:sRNA from 1 species